UACGGAGGGUGCAAGCAUUAAUCGGAUUUAUUGGGCGUAAAGGGCGCGUAGGCGGAGAUGUAAGUCAGAUGUGAAAUCCCGGGGCUCAACUCCGGAACAGCAUUUGAUACUGCUUCUCUUGAGGGUAGGCGGAGAAAAUGGAAUUCCACAAGUAGCGGUGAAAUGCGUAGAUAUGUGGAAGAACACCGGUGGCGAAGGCGAUUUUCUAGCUUAUACCUGACGCUGAUGCGCGAAAGCAAGGGGAUCAAACAGG
rnacentral:rRNA from 1 species